AGAUGUGGAAGGACAAACAUUGGAUUGUUUCAUGUACAUGAGCUACACGGGGUCAUUAACCUCAUACAACAAAGUGAUGGUUCCAGGGGCUGAGGACAAGGAAUGUAAAUGUUUGAGAUUCAGAGUUUCAGAUUGGGAAAAAGGAAGAAGUUCCAGACACCGAUGGUGCUCCCAGGCCGACCAUAAAAGGAUAAGCACUCCUUUGUCACUCACGACCUUGACAGUGGAGCAGUUCUUUCUCUGGUCUCACCUUCAGGGGAAUUCUGAAACAGGCAAUCCAGGAAAAGGCCAGUGGCCAGAGGCAAUCUGAUAAUUCCUGCAAGAGGGACUGUGGGUGGAGGAGGCAACAGUGUGAGCAGGAUACACAGUCUUUCUUCCUUUAUUUUAUUGUAUUUGUAAAAACUGCUUUUCUCCAUCUCCAUUGGAAAAGAAUGGUUGGAACAUCACAGUGAAGUGUGGCUCUAAGCCACAGAUUUACCAGCUUAGGCACAGAUGCCUGCCAUGAACCUUCCCCAGAUCCCACCAACCCUUCCAAAAUGGUGCUGUGUCCAAAUCCCUCACUUGGCAAUUCAUGGAUAGCCUUACUACGAUUAGUUGCACUACUUACUUCUGCCUUUGAACUUGUCUAUUGGUGAUUCAUGCCUCUGGCCUCCUUCAAAAGAUCUAGGAUGAUUUGAAGGCAGAGACCUGGGAUCCAUCUCUUGAAAGCAUGAACCCAAACCAACUCUCUGAACUCUCACUUUCAUCUUCAUGGACUACUCAGUUUGUUGUGUAACUCUGUCUCCUUUCCCCAACCUUUUUGCAAACUUUUUGGUAGGAUGUGGCUUAUGUCUCUGGAGUGUCUGCAAUGAUCCUUGGCACACACCAGGUGCUCAACACAUGUGGGCGGAAUCUAUGCAUGUAUUAAUAAAAGCAAUGGAUCCAUCUGUGGUUCCCCUGUAGCCUACUUCAGUGUUUUUGCUUCAGUAUUUUAAUAUUAGAAUAACAAUAUUUGAUAUGCG